UACUCGAGUGGCGAACGGGUGAGUAACACGUGGGUGAUCUGCCCUGCACUUCGGGAUAAGCCUGGGAAACUGGGUCUAAUACCGGAUAGGAGCCAUUUUUAGUGUGAUGGUUGGAAAGUUUUUUCGGUGUAGGAUGAGCUCGCGGCCUAUCAGCUUGUUGGUGGGGUAAUGGCCUACCAAGGCGGCGACGGGUAGCCGGCCUGAGAGGGUGGACGGCCACAUUGGGGCUGAGAUACGGCCCAGACUCCUACGGGAGGCAGCAGAG
rnacentral:rRNA from 1 species